UACGAAGGGGGCUAGCGUUGUUCGGAAUUACUGGGCGUAAAGCGCACGUAGGCGGACUACUAAGUCAGGGGUGAAAUCCCGGGGCUCAACCCCGGAACUGCCUUUGAUACUGAUAGUCUCGAGUCCGGAAGUGGUGAGUGGAAUUCCGAGUGUAGAGGUGAAAUUCGUAGAUAUUCGGAGGAACACCAGUGGCGAAGGCGGCUCACUGGUCCGGUACUGACGCUGAGGUGCGAAAGCGUGGGGAGCAAACAGG
rnacentral:rRNA from 1 species